UACGUAGGUGGCGAGCGUUGUCCGGAUUUACUGGGCGUAAAGAGCGCGCAGGCGGUCGUUCAAGUCCGGUGUGAAAGCCCCCCGCUCAACGGGGGAAGGUCGCUGGAAACUGCGUUUCUUGAGGGCGGCAGAGGGAAGUGGAAUUGCUGGUGUAGCGGUGGAAUGCGUAGAGAUCGGGAAGAACAUCAGUGGCGAAGGCGGUCUGCUGGGCCGUUGCUGACUCUGAGGCGCGACAGCGUGGGGAGCAAACAGG
rnacentral:rRNA from 1 species